rnacentral:lncRNA from 1 species
GAGAACUGACCAGGCCCACGCCUGGGCGUCGCUCUGAAAGGCUCGGCCGCCUCGGGAGGUCAGAGGAGGGACGGCCACCGCGACAGGGCGGGAAUCCGCGCGGGAACGGGUUAACGUCCCUCCGCCAGUACUGAGCUGAUGAGAAGCUGCGAGCGAACUGCAGGGCAGCUAAAUCCACCGCCCUGUGCCUACACUUGACGGCGGGAGCACGUCUGCCAUCCAGUAUCGAUCGGGACUGCGCGCUUCUGUGAUACUAUGAGAAUUCAUCUGGGGAGAAGAGCUCUCGGCGCCGCAGAUCGUGCGUGCUGGCAAACCUCUGGAGCUCAGGACGCUGCACGGUUCAGGCGCCGAGCUCUUGGCUGAUAAGUGUCCCCUCCCUUGGGGAAGAGGAGUGGGGAGGGGAAGGGAUCUAAUUUUCGACUGUCCUCACAUAAAGUGGUUUCUCUGUUCACACUUUCCACUUAAGCUACCCAGAGACAUGACUUAAUGCCUAACUGGCCUGUUUAGCAUGGAGGAGAUUGAGUGAGAAAUGCUGGUGGAAUCGGCAUUACACCUGCUUCCCUCUACAUGACAAGAGACACUCUGCAAAAGAUGUGCAGUACACCAACUCAACAGAUUGUCCUCUGGGCCCCUUGCCACCAGCUGGGCACUUCGUUGUUGUAGUUAAGAACCUGAAGAGAUUUGUAGGUUUGUAGUACUGAUUGAACGGUGAAAUAAUUAGCCCUAUUCGACAGAGGUACCGUAUCAGCCUUUAUAACAAAACCCAUGCAAUGUGAGAAGAGGAAAGGGAAAGACCCGUGCUCGGAGCUCCUCGAUAAACAGAACUAAAAGCAGACUCAGUUAAAGUGGAAUGCAGGCUGAGUCCCAUCAUCAGUGAAGUAAUUUCACAUGGAGGACAGUAUUUAAGGAAAGAGACAUGAAGGUCUGUUUAUCUCUGGCUAUGCAUCAGGUUAUGCUUAAGCAGGCAUGCGCGCAUGCACACACAAUAAAGUUUCACAAUAUAAUACUUAACCAAAUACCCUGGAUCCUCUGGUUUUCUGUCCUGCUGUACUUUAAGGACUGGAUUAAGCUCAGCAGUUAUGAUGCUUUCCAUUAAACAGUGUGGAGCGAGCGGCGUACAGUAAGUGUGAGAUUUUACAAUCAAAAUUCCUAUCCCGAAUCAUUAAAAUGCUAAAGUGCUAAGUAGGUUAAUAAGCUUGGUUUCCUGAGCUGGUCAUUUCCAACAUGUCAGUGACCUCGGGGCUGACUUCUCACUCAAAUUCAUCUCAUCCUACCCCUUGCCCACGAGGCUUUUUCCUGAAGCAAAGCAUAUUGGCUCGUGUUUUCCACCAGCUCCAGUGCUGCUCCCCCACCCUCUUCAAUGACAACCUUCCUGGAAAACAAUACCACAUUUUUUUUUCAUUCUUAAUUAACAACUUUCUAGAAAAUAUGGAUAAAGAAAACUCUUUGUCACAGUAUUGUUGGUGAUUGUAAAUACGCUGAGAUUACGUCGAGGAACUCACCUCUACUGCAGAUGAUGAGUUAGCCAUCAGCAUCAGACGGAACUCAGAGUACAUCAUGACACUAGGCCCCAGGAUGGGAAGGUGCAUGUGUGCACUGCAGAGCUCAGUGAGGAAGGAAUGAAAUGCAUGCGACACCGGAAGCGCUCGGGAUGGAAACGUUGUGAUGCGCAUCCGCUUAGUAAGAAUUUUAAUAGUUUUUGCUGACUUCAGUUUUUAGAUCUUUUAAGUGACCUGCAAAAAGUAUACAUGACUCUGGUGAUUAGAAAUAAAAAUAAAAAGAAUAUCACACACACACACACACACACACACACACACACACACACACAAGGCUAAGGUUAAAUGUGGCAGCUUUCCCUAGGAUAGACUUGUGCGGUUGUGGACAUUCCCCAGAUCCUUGACAGGGAGACCUGACCCUGCCAGCUGAAAGUCACUCCUUCAGUUAAAAAAUAAAGACUUUAAAAUUCCGG